CACGUAGGGGGCAGGCGUUGUCCGGAUUUAUUGGGCGUAAAGAGCUCGUAGGCGGCUUAGUAAGUCGGGUGUGAAACCUCCAGGCUCAACCUGGAGACGCCACCCGAUACUGCUGUGGCUAGAGUCCGGUAGGGGAGCGUGGAAUUCCUGGUGUAGCGGUGAAAUGCGCAGAUAUCAGGAGGAACACCAGCGGCGAAGGCGGCGCCUCUGGGCCGGUACUGACGCUGAGGAGCGAAAGCGUGGGGGAGCAAACAGG
rnacentral:rRNA from 1 species